CCUACGGGUGGCAGCAGUGAGGAAUAUUGGUCAAUGGGCGCGAGCCUGAACCAGCCAAGUAGCGUGCAGGAUGACUGCCCUACGGGUUGUAAACUUCUUUUAUAAGGGAAUAAAGUGAGGCACGUGUGCCUUUUUGUAUGUACUUUAUGAAUAAGGAUCGGCUAACUCCGUGCCAGCAGCCGCGGUAAUACGGAGGAUCCGAGCGUUAUCCGGAUUUAUUGGGUUUAAAGGGAGCGUAGAUGGGUUGUUAAGUCAGUUGUGAAAGUUUGCGGCUCAACCGUGAAAUUGCAACUGAUACUGGCAGGCUGGAGUGCAGUUGAGGUAGGCGGAAUUCGUGGUGUAGCGGUGAAAUGCUUAGAUAUCACGAAGAACUCCGAUUGCGAAGGCAGCUUACCAAACUGCGACUGACAUUGAGGCUCGAAAGUGUGGGUAUCAAACAGGAUUAGAUACCCUAGUAGUC
rnacentral:rRNA from 1 species